UUGCUUUUCAUUUUGUUUUUGUACAUCAGGCUUCAGGUUCUCGUUGCAGAGUAGAAUAGGUUACGGCCGGCGGCGGGCAGAUCGAGUCUACCUCUUCCGCCGAAGUUAAGGUUCGUCAGGGCAGCAGCGCGCAACGCGGGCCGUUCCGGAUCCACCCUCUCGGGUCGAUCCAUCGCAAAGCCACAAAACGCCACACACUUCCGUUCAUCCCCAAACGUGCAAAUGACAAUAGGUCGGGUGUCUCCCAGCUCGCGCCAGGAAGAAAACCUCGGUAAUGAUCCUUCCGCAGGUUCACCUACGGAAA
rnacentral:misc_RNA from 1 species